rnacentral:tRNA from 1 species
AAAAAUUAGUUAAAUUAUAAUACAGGUUUGUCAAGCCUGAGUUAUCCUCAAGAUAUUUUU